rnacentral:rRNA from 1 species
ACACAUGCAAGUCGAACGAUGAACUUGGAGCUUGCUCUGGGGGAUUAGUGGCGAACGGGUGAGUAACACGUGAGUAACCUGCCCUGGACUCUGGGAUAACUUCGAGAAAUCGGAGCUAAUACCGGAUAGGACCUUGCACCGCAUGGUGUGGGGUGGAAAGUUUUUCGGUUUGGGAUGGACUCGCGGCCUAUCAGCUUGUUGGUGAGGUAAUGGCUCACCAAGGCGUCGACGGGUAGCCGGCCUGAGAGGGUGACCGGCCACACUGGGACUGAGACACGGCCCAGACUCCUACGGGAGGCAGCAGUGGGGAAUAUUGCACAAUGGGCGCAAGCCUGAUGCAGCAACGCCGCGUGCGGGAUGACGGCCUUCGGGUUGUAAACCGCUUUUAGUAGGGAAGAAGCCUUCGGGUGACGGUACCUGCAGAAAAAGGACCGGCUAACUACGUGCCAGCAGCCGCGGUAAUACGUAGGGUCCGAGCGUUGUCCGGAAUUAUUGGGCGUAAAGAGCUCGUAGGCGGUUUGUCGCGUCUGCUGUGAAAACUAGAGGCUCAACCUCUAGCCUGCAGUGGGUACGGGCAGACUUGAGUGGUGUAGGGGAGACUGGAAUUCCUGGUGUAGCGGUGGAAUGCGCAGAUAUCAGGAGGAACACCGAUGGCGAAGGCAGGUCUCUGGGCACUUACUGACGCUGAGGAGCGAAA